rnacentral:rRNA from 3 species
AAAAUUUAAAUUUAAAAUACUAAAAUAGUAGGUAAGUUAAUUGAAACUUAAAUAAUUUGGCGGUAUUUUAGUUCAUUUAGAGGAAUCUGUUUAUUAAUUGAUAUUCCACGAAUAAAUUUACUUAAUUUAUAAUUUUGUAUAUCGUUGUUAUAAAAAUAUUUUUUAAUAAAUUUAAUAUUUAAGAUUUUAAAUAAAAAUUUAAAUCAGAUCAAGAUGCAGAUUAUAAUUAAGAAUAUAAUGGAUUACAAUAAAGUUAUUUAAAUGAAUUUUGAUUUGUAAAAAUUAAUUGAAAGUGGAUUUAAAUGUAAUUUUAUUUAAUUUAAUAAAAUGAUUAAAAAUUAAAAUAUGU